AGGAGUCCGGACAAUGUCUCCUCCUCUGACUGUUUGCCACCUGGAAAAAGUUCAUAGAUGUGGACAGGUGGAAAUGAACAGGAAUAUCUUAAUUAUCAACCCACCUCCCAUCUCCAUGGAUUGAAGGCAAGGGGAUCUUCAUAUUUUGCUGGGUUCAGAUGCACAGCUGGCGGACAGACCAUAAUCGCCCAACCUGCUGGAAUGGUAUAUCCUGCAUCAAUUCCAAAUUGAAUAGGCAUGUCAAAAUGGGGUAGUGAGGCAGUAAGCAUGACUUUCUCCAAAGAGCAGCCCAGAUAACAAUGGAGAUCAUCACAAUAAUAAUAGGUUCCAGGUUACUCGAGGAUGAGAGGAUUGAGGAGGAAGUUGUUCUUCUUGUCUGUGCCGUGCGCGUGUGGAAUGGAUUAAUAACUAUUAGCAGCAAUGACUUGGUCAAAUGAGCAGCCGUCUAAGACUAUUAUUGAGAUAAACCUUCAGAAGGAUGCAAAUUUGGGAUGAGAUCAGCAACCUUAAGAUUUGAUUCAGGAUUAUUUGGAAGGCAGUUGCAUCAGUAGCAGACUCCAGAAUGCAACUUUUUAGCUUUCAAGAUGAAGCAUGCAUUCUCAAGAAGGCAAAAUGGCCUCAAAUCUCUCUCUCCACACUACGAAAAUGUUACUAGGAAGGUGGUUCUUCCAUUGAUUGAAUUAGUGGUAUGAGUGUAACAGAGGGAUCAGUGUAAGAGGAUGCCCUUUCUUGUUUGCAGCUGUUCUUUGUUUUCCUUGCUUUUAUUGGAAGAGUUGUCUGAAUGUUUCCAGUCUAAUAGUAUUUUACCCCCUUUUAAGAUGGUUUUU